GCUGCCCCCUUUCCCUGGCUCUUCCUGCAGCUCCUCCACCCCUCUACAUCUUCCUCCUUUUCUGAAAUUCUCUCUCUCUCAGUCACACUGUCUCUCCGGUUCUCUGCGAUGAAGAGAAUAUUGAGCUCCGUGUCAGAAAUCGUAUUUAGAGGCUGCCAGCAGAUUACACUGGAGCAGUGGCCCCAUCAGCCUAAUCUGUUUAAACAGUAUUAGCUUUUGCCGAGCAGCAGGGACGUUCCUCUACAUGCAGUUUAAGUCAGCACGGGUUCUCUGCUGUGUGACAUGCUACUGUAAUACAGCCAUAGACUUAUUUUAGGCUGGAUAUUAAAAUAUGAUAUGGUGCUGCAUCCCGCAAGUUAUACAAUUUGCUAAUCUCACCACUUUGGUUUUAGUGAGUAUGAAUCUUUUUUUAAUUGUUUAAUUUAAUCUCCACGCUUUGAUUCCUGUUGGUUUAGUUUUUGUUGGGUGUCACCUGAUGAAAUGGAUACAUAAUGCAUGAUAAUUACUAACGAAUACCAAGUUGCUAUUUUAAAGUAAAAGCACUUGUAAAGUUUACAAAAAUAAUCAAAGUAAUUAUUACAUGGCCAAAACGCAAUUUUUGUUAUAUUUUCUAAUAUUUUCUGUUUUGGACUCAUUAGAUACGCAAAUCUGUGAACUCUGAUUAAAAAUGCUCAGUUUCACAUUUUCAAUGAACCAAAAAAUAAAGCUGAAUCAAAGCCCGUCUGCAUAUUGUGUUGAAGGUGAUUCAUGAGGUGGAGGACCGAGACCACGGGUGAUCCACUCAGGAAAAACUAAACUGCUGCCAAGCCCGUUAUCACCACAUUUAUUACCAUCUUUGUUUGUGUGCACACACUCCUGUGUGUUAUUGACUGAUUUAUAACAGGCUUCCCAACACAAAUCCAUAUUGGCGAGGGAGUGGUGGUCCAAUAAUGCUGCCAAUGAUUUACUAUUAGAGCUCCUGUUGUCAUUCUCUCACCCUGAUAAAUGACACCCUUUUCCCUCAGGCUGGGGGGGGGCGGGGGGCUCACACUUGUAGACGUGCCGAAUAAAGCAAACGGUCAAUCUUACGGGGCGACGUGCGAGUGCUUUUAAACUGCAGCAGCCUGUCAACCUUAGGGAGUGUGCGUGCACGCGCGAUUGUGUCUUCAGGCUGCAAAACCAGAUCAAGCAGUUGUGUACGGCCUGACAGCGGCGGGGGGGGGGGGGGCUGAGGAUGAUGGAUGCACAUUAGGAAAGGACUGCUCCAGGGCUGCAGGUGUACGUCAAAUAUCAGCAGUUUUUGGUGUGUGUCCCUGCAAUCACAUUUUGUGUUGAUUUUAAACACCGUAGCUAGUGAGCGGCAGCAAUGAGGACAGAGGGUGCUGUCAUUGUGUGUGUUGUUGACAAUUGGCUAAAAGCUACACUUAUUUUCCUCGUUUAAUUGGCCAGUGAGGACUUUAGAUUGAGUUUGAGCGUAAAAAAACGUCAGUGUCGGUCUCGUUAAGAGCUUUUUGCAACAUCGCCAGCUGUGAGUGGCUGCAACUGCACUCUGUUCUACCCCGGAGGUUCAGAUUGGCUUCUAUUGUAUCAACGUCACAACAUCCAAGGAACCACGUAAGGUAAAUGUGGGAUUCACGGAAAAAACAAGAUAGGAAGGAGGAUAACAGAGAGGAAGAAGAAGAGGUGAUGGAACAAACAUUUCUCCCCUCCUCAAUGUCUCCUCCCCGCCUGAAAGAAAUCUCCUCCCAGUUGCUUACACGCUUUUGACAGGAAGCUGCCAUCCGAAGUUUGAAAACUGAGGGGAAAAAUGGCAGCGGGCGAUUGUGCAUUGUGUGGAACUGUGUGUGUCUGCGCGAGAGAGAAGGAGACAAAGAGACGGCCGCGAGGAGAGACGGAGACGUCAGACCUUGAUAUCCGGCCCGAGGAGGAGAAACGAUGCGUGCGAGUGCAGGUCCACGUGUUGCAUCCACACAUUAUGCAUGUCUGCGAGUACGUGUGCGGUUGUCAGUCUUCUGGAUGCAGAGGAUAGAUUAUUAGUAAUAAUUUAAGUCAAAUCUGAAGCGAGAGGAAAAAGCACUAUGGUUAACUGUUUAUGACUAGCAAAUUGUUCAUCUAUAUAUAUAUAUAUAUAAUUUCAGAGUUCCAUGAGACAAUUGCAUCAGAAAUAUAGAGAUGAAGGAAGAGUUAGAGGGCAAGAAGUUGAGGCAACUGAGGCGAGUUAGACGGAAGAGAUGGAAACAGAGGAAGACGUAGCGGGAGGGGACGCUGUAAGCGAGGGCGACAGAGAGAAGGUAAGAGAUGAGAGGAGAUGGUGGAGAUGAGGACAGGAGAAGGAGGACGAGGAGGAGGACGACGACAACUGACAGACAAAAAGGAAAAGAGAAAAACAAAGAAAGCUGCAGUCAGACAGGAAUACGGGAGGAAACGUAUUAAAGCGCAAAACCCAAAUCCGUCCACUCUCUUCUCUCUUCCCUCCAACCUCAUAGCUCAGAAGAAGCCAAGCUGCCUCCUAAUUACCUCAUUUACAUAAACAUGCACAUUGUGCAAGUGAGGGAUGGGGCUGGGUUGUUGACGGUGGAAGAGAAGAGGAAGAGGAGGAGGGGGGGGGGGGGGAUUCACCUGCUGAAAAAAGGAAGAAGAGCGAAGGUAGAGAAUCUUUCUUCUCUACCUUCGCUUCGAGAGUCUUCCUUCACAUGUUCUGCUCUCUUUGUCCUCUCUGCAUCCUCCUCCUCUUUCCAUUUUUAGCGUUUUCCAUGAGCUAAUCAUCCCCCCCCCCCCACACACACUCUCCCCUUUUUCUCUCCUCUUGCCAUUUGUAGGUAGCUUAAUGCCAACAACCAUUAUUCUCUUCCUCUCCCACAUCGCGUCCCUCGCUCUCCUCCUCCGCUUUCAGCGCCGUCUAUACCAUCACCCCCCCUCAACCCCCCCCCCGGUCUCUCACAUCCCUCCCGUCACAACUCCUCUCUCCUCCUCUCCAUCCUUCUCUCGCAGGGUGCUGUGUCAGGUCUUUUCACCCUCAGCAGUGUGAAAUGAGAUUUGAAUAUGGCUCUUGGAGUGUCCGCGGAUCGCCUGCAAACACCCCCCGACCCCCAACACCACCCCCCCCGUUCCCAUUACAACAAAAAACAAACACAUAGACGAGGCCGCUCGUAAAGACAAAGGGCCGUGACGCGUCUGGAGUGCAUCCUCACAUGUCAGGGAGGAAGAUGAAGGUGAGGAGAGGAAAAAGCCCGGCUGUGACUAAAACUUGGACAAAAACUGACGAGAGCCAGAGAGAGGAAUGGACUCUAAUUAAAAUGCGGUGACCUUCUUGUUUGCCCGUUUCUCUUUUUUUUGGGGACAUUUUGAGUGGAAACCCUCAUACGAGGGAGCGAGGGAGAAGAAGGGCGAACGGAGCUGAGCAUGAAAUGGCCAUGAAGUGUCAAGUGCUUGUCUCCUCACCAGAGGAAAAAGGGAGCGAUAAGAAGGUUGCAGGAUGUGUGUUCACCAUCUUCACCACAACACACACACACACACAAUGACCAGGGAGAAACAACACACAAUGAACUCUGUCACUCCCACACAGUUUAUACUGUCUAGAAGUAUCAGUUCUGCAGUGUGUCACACACACACACACACACACACCGCUGCUGAUGCGGCUGCCAGCCCUCGGCAGAUCGUUUUCAUCCAGAGGAUUUCAACCUCGGCGGUGCCUCCCUCCAUGUCAUCGCUUCCCCACGUUAUCCCAUACAGGACAUUUGGGCAAAAUGAUCACGCCAACGUUUGUGCCAAAUUUAGAGAAAUUUGCUUUUGCUAAAAUUACUAAAAUAUGCUCCAUUAGAACGGGACACAUUGUGCCUCUGGCCACGAUUGUGCAGACAUGAGAAGAGAGCCAAUGAACUUUAUUUAUUGGCUCUUAUAAAAACGACUGCUACCACAACACCUAUUUAAAGAAUUGGUUUCCUGAGAAAUGACGUUAUUCGCACACUAUCGAUGUUCAUAUGUUUCCUUGACCUCUUUUCCUUUUUCGUACACUACUGCUGGAGCGGUUUUGUUGCCAAGUAAUGCAUGAAAGGCGACAACAGAUUAGUAAAGACAAGUGUUUUGUGAAUUCUGGCACACAUUCAGAGGAUGAUAUUCGUUCAAGUUGUUUUCCCAACAAGAAAGAAUGCGAGUCAGCGGUCACAGCGCUUAAAGCAACUCUUUCAUAAAUGCAUCUCAGUACCAUUUACCAUCAAGUCAAAAUCCCCCCUCCACGCUAAAUCUGUUUCAUGCUUUUCUAAAGAAGAGAAAAUAUAGCUCACAGCAAGCUCUCACAAGCUCCAAUUCCCGUCUCCAAUUGUCAAAAAAUAGAGGAUGGAUGAAAUAUGAUGUAUAAUAUUAAUCAAAUAAAUAUCAGAGUUGGGUUCUGUCAUUACAAAUGUCAAACUUUGAGGGGCCGUUAUAACAGGUAUAUUUUCCUUCAAAUGUGAAUUCCUGGUGAACCAGUGAUGUUUUUAUCUAAAUGUUCAGCAUGAUGCACCUCCCAUGAAAGAAUCGCAACGAUUCACCCUGUGACAAAGACACGCUGUUGAAUAUUCAAUUGUCUGCUUCACUCCUUUGUCUCUUAUCUUAGUAAAGAAAGUGCGUCAUCUUCUAUUAUCAAACAGCCACGUGUUUGUAUCUCAUCCAACAAGCAAGCAAGUGGUACAAGAAGGCAUCUCUAUUUAAAUGAUAUACUAUUUACCUUUGCAUGUUGUCAUUAGCAACCUUAAAGACUGAUAAUUGAUUUAUGUAUUUGUACGUUUGCUAUUGGAAAACAUUUCCAUCUGUGAAAUGAAUCCAUCUUCCACGUAGAAGCUGCCUGGGACCCUGGAUUUACAUUCUGGUUUCGCUCGGCUGAUCUUAAUUCCAGUCGAUGUGAUGUGCUGGUCCACCUUUAGUGAUGAGGUCAUAUUGUUAUUAAUGUGGCAGGUGGGACGGACGAGUGCGGAAGUCCUAUUGGCCACAAAUUGACUUUAAUAAUCCCAUCUGGACCCCAAAUCCUCACUCUGCACUUUCUAUAAAGUGUAUAAUCACGAUUAAUAGCCGUAAAAUCAUUGAUUUCUAACGUAAUAAUAAUCUCUAUAUUGUUUUAGCGAUGUCUGCAUGAGUUAUUUCCUCUAUUACUAGAAAAACAAAUCGCUCUGUCACUUAAUUUUUAUAUAAGUAAUAAGGACGUUUUUUUUCUUUUUUUUGAUCAAUCGUUAUGCCGAUGUCAACGAUGAUGUAUUGCAUGUUCAUCCAUCCUUGGAAGACCACUUAACAAGAUCAAGCACGCCGACUAAACUCCUUUCAGGUCCCAAACGGUGCUGUAGUUUUUAGCGACAAUGAGUCACUGAAGCUAUCUAAACGUUUCACUAAUCACCUAUCAAAGAAAAAUAAACCUGCUAAGGAGUCAUUUUUAAGAAAAAAGACUGUGUGCUCGGGUGUAGUGGAGAUUUUGUGAUGAAUUGCACUGAAACAGCAAUGACGCCACUGUGAUUUGACUCCUGUUUUGACUCACUUUCAUUCAAAGCAGAAUCACCGUGAGGAUCAACCGCCUGCAGCUUGAGACCCUUUAACCAUUUCACGGCUCGAGUGCUUGAAUAAGGCUCUUCUAUAAUAGAAUGGUGUCGACCUGCCUCAGGUACUUGUCUAUACCAGAAUAUAAUUAGCCUUCUGUUCGGGGGAAUCUCUGGCGCGCGCCACACAGCUUUGAUAAUGCAGAACAAAACAUCUUCAUCUCUACCAACAGACAGAAGUUACAUUACCUUGCUAAUUAGCUAAAGCAGAUAAAAUGCUAAUCCUAGAAAAUCCACGGCGUCGUUGUUUUCCCUUUCCGCUUGUCGCAGCGUUAGCAGAAGCCUUCCAGGAGAACAGCGAGGGUCAAACGGAGGUGGAGGAGAGAAACCGAGCGGAGACGGAGACGAGGGAUCCCGGGGACUCACGAGGGAGAAGGAUGAAAGGAUGUGUGCCACGCCAGGCAGUGAGAGAAUACUCUAGAUGCGAGCGACAGGCGGCGAUUGUGAAACUCCAAAAGGAGGAUGAGUGGUGCACAGCUUUAAGGACUAGUAAGGUUCAUGUUUCAGACAAUGAUCCCGAUUCUCAGGCCUGCAGAAUCCUGCUGAAUUAUUUUACCCAUAAUGGGGUCCGAUGAAAACAUCCACGGAAUGAACUGAAACACUGUAUGAUAGGUGAUGAAUAUCACUCUAAUAUUUACACUGUGAUUUCUGCCCGAAGCGGUGGAUCACUUUUUAAGGCUGCAGUAGAUACAGAAGCUGUGUAUUUUGUGUGCUUGGCAUUCUCCUAAGAUGGAGGCAUGAAUACAUGAACACAGAGACAUAAAUAAUAUUACAGUAUGUUGCAUUUCUCAGCUGUAAGUCACUCAGUGCCGCCGUGGUUCGUUUACGUCGCCUGUGAGAGCGGUUUGUGGCAUUCUUAUCAUCAUUACUACAAUGCGUCACGUGUGAAUUUCAUCUGCUCCCUCCAGCGUCUCACGAUGCCAUCUCACUUUUAUGAAGCCACGAGCAGAGAUGCGAGUGACGCUGUUUUCAUGCUCAGGUGCUCGUUCGGAUGAAUCAUCCUUGUCCCGCUUGCUGCGUGUUACAUAACUUAUCGGUGAGGCUGCUGUGAGCGUUCAGAUCGAGGAGACUCGCAGUGCUUCUGCGGCGUGCGUCCAGCAGCUGAACAUUUUGGGCCCAAACCGGCUAUUACAGCCCGGCUAGUUGAUCAAAGAACCGGCCGAGGAGCAGAAAAGUCUCAGCUCAACAAAGAGGAAGACAUGAGAAAGAAAGACGUUAAAAGUUUAGUCUUUAGCAUAAUACAUUACAGCAAUCACACGAAGGAGUUCUUAAUACUGAAGUGCAUCUCACAAGGAAACGUGGUGACUUUCACAAGUUUAACCAAGUCAUACCGUUCGAUAUUUGACCUCAAAUCAUAUCAAUUCCUGAAAGGGAAAGUUUCUGCUUCCCUCACUGGGCUGAUUUAGAUUCAGACGCAGAUGAAUCAAAGAGGCGGAGGCGCGGUGGCGGCGGCCAGAGAGGCCGCUGUCAGGCGUCGGCUCCCUCGGGAGCGGUUAAAUGCAUUAGGCCCGUCCACUGGGAAGCAGUCAAGUGAUUAGGACGUACUUCAGCGUCGAGAUCCAGCACACAUCCUUCACACGCACGCGGACACGCGUGUGGAAGUGCUGAUUAGGUGAGCAACUCCGCUGAUAAGACAGCAGCCGACGGUGCUGACAAUCAGGGAUUCGUGUGGAGAGACACACACGUAUAUAAAUAGUGUGUUAUAUGAGACUGCAUUAUUUCACUGCAUCACUCCAACCGGACACAAACAAUGGUAAUAGUAAUAAUAAUACUAAAGGCUAUGUACACUCGUACUGCAAAAAUAAUGACACCAGAAAGCUUUUGCUUUCAUUGCCCGAUUCUUGCAGCCUCCGGGUAGAAUCCCAAAUAGACGGCUCCAAUUACAGCACAAGGGAAGAGCGGCAACGUUGCACAACCUCCACAGGAGGAGGAUAGUGCUGCUGUCGUCCCCGGGAGCUAUCGCCAGCUCUCCCAAGUAACCACACCGUAUCACUCCACGUUCAUUUCCCCCUGCGGUGGAAACGGUGGAUCAAUGGAAGGCAACGCUUCCUGUGUCUGUCGGUAGUUCCUGGAUUCUGAGGAAAACAGAAGGCGAAAAACGACAUAGCUGUGAAUUUGUGUUCGUUCUGAAGGAGCUCGGGCUUCAAACCCGAACACAACGUGGACGAAAUGAGCCUUCGUUCAGGCAAAGAAGAUUGAUAAAAGAUCACUAAAAGUAUUGAUGUACAUGCAGUUGUGUCAAAGGGAUGAGGCAAAGCCAGGCGUGAAAGUACCAAGACACCAUGUUUACUAUUAAUCAUCUGCGUAUAGUCCCACCCGUGGCAGGCUGGGGCACAUGGGAGGGGUCUAAACCAUGGACCCAAAAUUCAAUUACCUCACUGUUGAGCAAUGACCUUACGGAAAUGUCAAACUGAAUGUAUUCACUUCUCAUUUUACGUAGAGUUAAAAUCUUCCAGAGCACCGAAUUCAUCAUGCAGUGUACUUGUCAAAGGCAGGACACUGCGUAUCCACGCUGCAGUGCGCUGUAAUGGGUACGCAGUGGGAUGUGGGGGGGGGGGGGGGAGGGUCUCACCUCCCUGUGUGUCCUGGGGGCCCCAAUACCAACAACCGUUUCACACACACACACACACACACAGCGAAACAUGCUCCUCCAUGUGUUGUCCAGCAGCCGGCUACCAUUAGCCGGCCCACAUCCUGCCGUGGAUAAGUGCGUCUUCUGCUCAGCUGAGUGGUCACUGUAGGCGCGGGACCCGUUCAAAGAGCCCCCCCCCCCCCCCCACCCCACUUCAAAAGGAAAUCCGACCAAUCAGCCAGGCCUCAUAUGAACACACAGACAAAACCCGAUUUAUGUAUAUGCUGUACACACCCACACGCAUAAUCCAGCGUGAGCGUGUGAAAUCGUCCACAAAGACCAGGGCUGAAAUGGCCCUUUGAAGUCUCCCAAAGGCGCAACAUUAGAACCCUAUAUGUCACGCUGCUCUUUGACAAAAAGGGGGCAUCACACUGGCGGCAACAUAUGCAGAGAAACGCUGACACGUGUUGAUGAUUUCAUACGUAUACGCUGCGAAUUAUGUUAUUUACCAGAGGACUCAGGUUGGCGUUCGCAUCACAGAACACUCCCAGCCUUGAACGCGUGGUAAUAAUGGGUCCCACAUCACAAAAAAGGGUGAAGGAGACGUGCACAUCACUCCGUCAAACAGCGUCGCUGCGCGAGCACGGGCGGUGGAAAGCCGAGGCAAUUAUCAAAGGAACGAUUCACCUGCGGAUCUUCAAAGGUCUCCCCUGGUUUCAAUCCAUCUCUCAUUUCUCUCCGCAUCUCAACAUCUAAAUCCGUCCAUCAGCGCUCGUCACUUUAUUCCUCCGUCUCACAAGGCACCCGGCCUUUUUUCGUCUUGUUUUGUCCUUGGUUUUUCCCACGAUGAGUGCGGCAGCGCUUUGCACCUCGGCUGUUUUUUUUUUUUUUUUCACUAAGCAGCAGACUGAUGGCAUUAAUAACGGGGGCCAGCGAUCUAGUGUUCUGAAGAGAUCUGGGCAUAAUGAUUCCAUUGAUAGCGGUUUUCUGUGUCUCUCCGCGUCUCUUUAUCACGUAAGGUCAAAAGGAAUGCAGCGUGUUGAAUACUGACUGACUACCAGUUUUUGAAAUUGCAGAUGCCAUUGUGAGAAGUUAGAGGUCGGGGGCUCUGAUCUAGCAGCCGGUAAUUGGACAAUUUCAGUUCAAAGUACUUUAAUCAGCGGCCUUCAAAAAAAGUGAUGCAUUGAUCCUGAAAUGAAACGUUUUCUUUUCUCGUUUGCCGGCUUUCCUGGCUGGAAACACAGCAGCUCUUCACAUUCUUAACAAAUCCGCCGGGAAAAAGUCUGCAUCCAAGUCCGGAUGGCAGGUAAAAGGUAGCGUGGGAUCGGAGAGAAAAGGCUGAGAUGCAAAUGCAGCCACAGAUCAGUUACAUUAUCCGUCUUGAGUGAGUUACCCGAGGGAGAGAACGGACACUGUACACGACUGCCUGAAGGCACAACAUCACUCUGUGGUUUUGCAGCACAGCGGUGAGGUCGACACAAGAGACAUAAAUCACUCCGCGCAGCAACGGGCUUCAGGUUUGACUUCGUUUCACCUUUCCAUCACACCGCUUCCAUCAACCGGUGUGUGUGUGUGUGUGUGUGUGUGUGUGUAUCUCCACUCACUUGCGAAUUCCUCUCCUUAUUUUUGCCCACCAUUCGUCCUCGCUCCCCUCCCCCCCUCCUUCUGACUAAAAGGGCAGAACGGGGCGAGAAUUUACCAAUCACAAAACACCCAGUUUCCUGUGAAGCUAACGGGGCUAAAAAUACGAAUGCUUCGCUGCUCCAUCUCAUUACUCAGUAGGUAGAUGUAGAUGCCACACACACACACACACACACACACACACACACACACGACAUACUUUUUUGUAAGACUGUGCCUGUUGGCAGUCAGCUGCAUAUCAGAGUUUUUGUGUAUGAAACCAGAAGCCUGAUGUGAUUUUUGCACUAGAUAAUGACAUUCAUCUUUUUAAGGGUUCGGCCGUGUCGAAACACAUUAAAGCCUCUCUGUCAUCAUAUACACCGACAUACACACACACACAGACACACACACACACACACACACACACACACGCACGCACGCACGCACGCACGCACGCACGCACACACGCACGCACGCACACACACACACACACACACGCACACAUCUAGUUAUGCCUGGUUGUUUGUGUGAUGCACAAAUGAUGAUGCACGGUGCAUCCAGCAUAACACGACAUUACUUGUGUUUUCCUCACUUGCUAAAUGAGUCAUGUCCGAUUCGGAAGCCCCUCGUGUGUUACUGUGUGUUUGUGUGAGAGCGAAACUGGUGUAAUAUCAGCCUGACACGUUCACAAAGCACGGGGUAGUAAUGACAUACUGGAUACAUGUCAGUAGGUUUCUUUUAAAUAUUUUGACCUGAAUUAUUUUUUCCAAGACAUUUCUCAACCUAAUAUUUACAUAAUUUUAACUACCUAACAUACAUUCUAUUUUUCUUCCAUAUUUCUUUCUAAUUCAUUAUUUUUCCAACCAGACAUAUUUUGUAUUGUUUUCCGAAAAUUUUCAACCUAACAUAUUUAUAUUAUUUUUUUACCCAUGACAUUUCUUGACCUAUUUUCUUUUACCCAUCUUCGUUUAACAUUUUCUGACAUAAUGGUUUUUUUUACAUCUUUUUUCCAUGACACACAAUUCAACAACAAAAGUCCAGGCGGCUCAUCUUCACACACAAAAGGAGACGUUAGAUAAAUAGUAGCAAGUCAGCGGCCUGUAGGAGGUACAGAGGACAAAUGCACAUAUACAUGUACAUGCAAAUAUACAUGUCCCUAAGGUACAGCAACAUAUAUCCUCUUUGUUUAUCCUCUAACAAAAGUAUCGACUCUCCCGCCCCUCGCACAAAACCAUGUGUGUGUGUGUGUGUGUCUGUCGGCAGCAGCGAAAGUGCCCCAGGAUGCUAGUUGCCUCUCCAGGGAAAUGAAGUGUUGUCAAAAAUAGAAAUCUUUCAUGGUCUAGUUGUGCGCUUGUGUCUGCAUCCACAACACAUUCAAUUUCCACCCUUAAUUGCCUGCUCCGAUAGAAGGAAGGAGUACGAUAAUAUUAUAUUACUGGACUUCAUCUCUCUCUCAUUGGGAACAUGCACUUAACAACCAACAGGUCUCUCAUUGCAGUGUCUGACUGAGCCAGUCGGACUUUACGCUUGUCAUUUUUUCUAUAUACAUCCAUCUAUGCUCACAUGCUGUGUACAUUUGCCGUGGAUCUGGCCCAUUUUAUCUUUUAAGUGUGUGUCAAUGUGUGUGUGUGUGUGUGUGUGUGUGUGUGUGUGUAAGCGAGGGACAGAUGGUCUCUGGUCAUUGUCCCAGUGGAGUAAACACUACAGAUGCUUCCGCCAAACAAGGUGUCAACAGUGGUCUGAUUUCCUUCUCUCUCUCGUUUCCUCAAGAUGUCACAUAUGUUGUGUAAUGAUCAUUGUCCCAGACCACCUCAGAGGGUCACCCCGCCCGAGUUACGCAGACAAAUGGAUGUGUUUUCUGACUCUUACUCACAAUUACGGUGAUGAACCUAAAAAAACUAAGCAGAAACGCAGAACCUUUUCCAAAUCAAACAAUUCCUCUAACUAUGGCCUGGUUGGAAUUUGAAGUAUACAUUUGGAUAAUAAUGAAUAAAUGCGCUCUCCAUUAAACACAAAAAGAUGUAACCUCACGGUGCAUUCAGGAACAGCACAGCUUUUUGACCCUGAAGAAAGCCGAGGGCUGAGAUGUCAGUGUCAAUCAGCUCCCCCC
ensembl:lncRNA